UACCAACUGAGUUGCUCCCCCAGCCCUUUCU
rnacentral:piRNA from 1 species